CGCAGCAAACGCAUUAAGUGCCCCGCCUGGGGAGUACGGCCGCAAGGCUAAAACUCAAAGAAAUUGACGGGGGCCCGCACAAGCGGCGGAGCAUGCGGAUUAAUUCGAUGCAACGCGAAGAACCUUACCAAGGCUUGACAUGCACCGGUAACACUCAGAGAUGGGUGCCCCGCAAGGUCGGUGCACAGGUGGUGCAUGGUUGUCGUCAGCUCGUGUCGUGAGAUGUUGGGUUAAGUCCCGCAACGAGCGCAACCCUCGUCCCAUGUUGCCAGCGGGUUAUGCCGGGGACUCAUGGGAGACUGCCGGGGUCAACUCGGAGGAAGGUGGGGAUGACGUCAAAUCAUCAUGCCCCUUAUGUCUUGGGCCUCACGCAUGCUACAAUGGCCGGUACAAAGGGCUGCGAUACCGCGAGGUGGAGCGAAUCCCAAAAAGCCGGUCUCAGUUCGGAUUGGGGUCUGCAACUCGACCCCAUGAAGUCGGAGUCGCUAGUAAUCGCAGAUCAGCAACGCUGCGGUGAAUACGUUCCCGGGCCUUGUACACACCGCCCGUCAAGUCAUGAAAGUCGGUAACACCCGAAGCCGGUGGCCCAACC
rnacentral:rRNA from 1 species